rnacentral:rRNA from 1 species
CCUACGGGUGGCAGCAGUGGGGAAUUUUGGACAAUGGGGGCAACCCUGAUCCAGCCAUGCCGUGUGCGGGAAGAAGGCCUUCGGGUUGUAAACCGCUUUCGGCCGGAACGAAAUCGCCGGGGAGAACAUCCCCGGUGGAUGACGGUACCGGAAGAAGAAGCACCGGCUAACUACGUGCCAGCAGCCGCGGUAAUACGUAGGGUGCGUGCGUUAAUCGGAGUUUCUGGGCGUAGUUCGCUAGGACGCAGUUGGAAUCCCCGGGCUUAACCUGGGAACUGCGUUUGUGACUGGCGGGCUGGAGUGCGGAAGAGGGAGGUGGAAUUCCACGUGUAGCAGUGAAAUGCGUAGAGAUGUGGAGGAACACCGAUGGCGAAGGCAGCCUCCUGGUCUAGCACUGACGCUCAUGCACGAAAGCGUGGGGAGCAAACAGGAUUAGAUACCCUAGUAGUC